rnacentral:tRNA from 1 species
GCCCGGCUGGCUCAGUCAGAAAAGCAUGCAACUCUUGAUCGUGGGGUCAUGAGUUCGAGUCUCAUGUUGGGUG